rnacentral:lncRNA from 1 species
GAAGAUACUACAUAAAUUUAUCAUCCAUCUCUAUAAGCUUAGACUAAUUCAAACAUAAGCAAUCAGAACAUCAAUUCUAAACGACAAUGUGCGGAAAAGCAAAGUAAUGAAAGAUAAUAUGACAUGUGCAUACAAAAAGAAACAAAGCUUGAAGGAAAGGAGGAGGCUUUUGUUAGCAGAUUUGGCUUGAGAGUAUAGAACGUGACUCCUUGUUCGGAUGAGGGGUAGCGUCGUCUCAUUUGAAACUUCAUUUAACUAGAGUCUUGAAUUAAGACUCCAUUUGCUCCGAGUGUACAUGUAAAGAAACAGAAAACAAAGAAUAAGUAAUACAGGUAGUUAUAUAUUGCAGGCAUACAAGAAAGAACAUAUUGGAACUUCAAAAUGCACAUAUAAAGGGAAAAGGAAAAAAAAUACGCGAACUUAUACAAGAAACCAAGAGGUACUUAGAUUAUUUCCUACUUUAUAAUAAUGAACAAAGAACACAAGACUUGACAAGUAUCUUUACCAAAUGACAUAUUUAAAGCUAGUCCCAAACAGGUAGAUAACAAGCAAAAUCAAAAUGUAUACAACUCGUAUGUUAAGGCUUGCGAUUAAUAUUUAAGCAUCUGCGAGUUGGUAAGGAAUUGCCCGGAAUCAAGUAUUCACGAUGGCGAAAUAGUUUAACAAAUGGGUGACCUAUGUUAUGAUUUGUUUUGCACGCCCAACAAAUGUUUCACGCCAUUUUUAGAAUGCCUAACUAUGGAUUCUAUAGCAAGCCGACUAUUCUUUGCGAAAAGAAAACGACAACACCUGACCGGAGAGCAUUUUAUCACAUUCAAAACAUUGGUACUUCCUAGCAGUUGCGCAUUACGACUAAAAAAACAUAAUGGCUUAGUUCAUUAUCACUACUACUGAUCCAAACGUGAAACAGAACAUUGAUCACGAGACAAGUAAAGACCUCCAUGUCCAAAUGCACUCUCUAACACGGGACGAAAGAUGUUAAAAUAUAUAGAAUGGGGGGCUUCUUUCUUGAUAAAUAUUACAAUACAUGACUGAAGGAUAACAUUUCAAACUUGUUUUAUCAAUAACUGAACAGAAACUAGGCAAGCAGUUAUUUCUUAUGUAUCUAGGAUCCAAGUGGUAAUUGCUACAGGCACAUGAUGCAAAAGGGGUGAUAGCUCAUGGUUUCUAAUAGAAAUAGAGAGUAAGAUGAUAACUUGAAAUUUUUUUUAAAGCAUUAAGAUUCGACAAUAUUGAGCCUAGUGACGUGGCAGUUGGUUAGGAGGUUACAACUAACUUAAUGUAUGAUUAGAGGCAGCUUAAUCACUAGUUAGUUAGUAGAAUAGGCAGCUAGGAUAUUUUCACUAUAUAUAUUCAGCAUUUCUGUAUGUGUAGUGGUUCAGUUUUUCCUUUUGAUGUAUUCAACCAUAUUUUCUUCAAUAAGAGUGGAAUAGUUUCUCUUCCUUCCUUGAUUGAAAUCCAAGCUUAUUCAGCUCUAAAUCCAUGGCUUCUCUCAUGGUUGCUGAACUUUACAUACAAUAGCUAUUGUGGCUACCAUAGUGUCUUUAGAAUAUUAAAGGAAAAAGGUGUGAUUAACGAGAUUUGCAAUUGACCUAGCAGCAAAAUACUCAUGAAAUCGAAACAAAUUAAUAGUAAGGUUACUGACCUAGCGUGGAUCAGGGAACUAGGUAUUUCGAUUUCAAAUCUACACUCGAACUUACUUGAAUCACACCGGAAAGAAAACUGGAACCAAGAGAUAUAUAAAAAGAGGCAAAAAGGGAUCUUUGUGAGAGAGAAUUUUACUCUGUAUAUAACUUCCAACUUUGAUGGCUAAGCAAAACAAAAUUUUUGAGAGAUGUGGCCGCUCUACCCCAAAAAAAACCUGCUCCAAAUGGAUAAAAAUGUGAAUAUUUAUAGAGAGAAAAUUAGGGCUUCAAGUUUGGGCGGGAUCUUGAGCUUUUGAUUUCGAAUUCUAAUCAAACAUAACCGUUUGGAGUUGGAAGUUAUCCGCUUGGACGGAUUUGGUCCUUCACGUGAUUGAUAUGGUCAUAACACGAAAAUGGAGUAACAUUUUCUUCCAUGGUUGAUGAAGCAUUGUUG